rnacentral:rRNA from 1 species
UUGAUCUCAAAUCAGGUAGGACUACCCGCUGAACUUAAGCAUAUCAAUAAGCGGAGGAAAAGAAACUAACAAGGAUUCCCCUAGUAACUGCGAGUGAAGCGGGAAGAGCUCAAAUUUAAAAUCUGGCGUGCCUCUGGCCGUCCGAGUUG